UGAAAUUCUUGUGAAUUAAUUGACUGUUUGACAGGGUCUGUCGCCCCAAGCCGAGGUAGCAGCUCGGGCUUUUGUGCAGUUAUUGGCCCGGGAGCUGUCCUCGGCCCCAAACGCACCGAGAGAGAGUACAGCAGUCAGGGCUGGAGGCAGUGCUCCUCUGCCGGUUAGCGAUGCUAUGGUGAGACAGGCUAUGAGAAGGCAGUUCCCGAGUAUGUUUAAUACUGAUCAGCCAAGAGGAAAACGACGAUUCUCGACCCCUGCCCCUUGCAUUGUGAAAAGGACAGACUUUCAUAUGUAUGUCCUUUCGGAACCCAGUCAGUUCACACCAAAGGGCUCAGAAGAGCUAGAACUUGCCCAUGCUGGCCUUGGGAAGAGGAUGUUAAGUAUACCAGACCACUUGAAACACAAUAAGAUUGUAGCUCUACUUGAGGAGGAAUUUCCUAAACUGAAGACCUUACAAGGAGGUUGGAUGUUUU